rfam:Picea glauca, whole genome shotgun sequence.
CUACUAUCUAGCGAAACCACAUCCAAGGGAACGGGCUUGGCAGAAUCAGCGGGGAAAGAAGACCCUGUUGAGCUUGACUCUAGUCCGACUUUGUGAAAUGACUUGAGAUGUGUAGACUAAGUGGGAGCCGUUUUCGAUGCAAGUGAAAUACCACUACUUUUAACGUUAUUUUACUUAUUCCGUGGGGCGGAGAGGGGGCAUUGCCCCUAUUUUUGGCCUUAAGACACGUUUCGAUGGGUCGAUCCGGGCGGAAGACAUUGUCAGGUGGGGAGUUUGGCUGGGGCGACACAUCUGUUAAAAGAUAAUGCAGGUGUCCUAAGAUGAGAUUUACGAGAACAUAAAUCUCGUGUGGAACAAAAGUGUAAAAGCUCAUUUGAUUUUGAUUUUCAGUACGAAUACAAACCAUGAAAGCAUGGCCUAUCGAUCCCUUAGACUUUCAGAAUUUGAAGCUAGAGGUGUCAAAAAAGUUACUAGAGGGAUAAUUGGCUUGUGGCAGCCAAGCGUUCAUAGCGAUGUUGCUUUUUGAUCCUUCGAUGUCGGCUCUUCCUAUCAUUGUGAAGUAGAAUUCACCAAGUGUUGGAUUGUUCACCCACCAAUAGGGAACGUGAGCUGGGUUUAGACCGUUGUGAGAUAGGUUAGUUUUACCCUACUGAUGAACCACACCGCAAUAGUAAUUCAACUUAGUACGAGAGGAACCGUUGAUUCACACAAUUGGUCAUCGUGCUUGGUUGAAAAGCCAGUGGUGCGAAGUUACCGUGUGUCGGAUUACAACUGAAUGCUUCUAAGUUAGAAUCCACGCUAGAAGUGGCACUUGUCACUCCUUGACUGUAUCUUGACCCAUAGUAGGGGUGUCACUUUUGCCCCCCUAGGGGGUCGUGUCACUUGCGAACCUCGACCGGGAAGCAUGUCGGUCAGGGCAGCUUUGAAGUUCAAUUUCAAACGGUCGUUGAGAAGAAUCCUUUGUAGACGACUUAAAUACACGACGGGGUAUUGUAAGUGGCAGAGUGGCCUUGCUGCCACGAUCCACUGAGAUUCAACCCUUCAUCACCUCGAUUCAG